CAGCAGCCACGGUAAUACAGAGGAUGCAAGCGUUAUCCGGAAUGAUUGGGCGUAAAGCGUCUGUAGGUGGCUUUUCAAGUCCGCCGUCAAAUCCCAGGGCUCAACCUUGGACAGGCGGUGGAAACUACCAAGCUGGAGUGCGGUAGGGGCAGAGGGAAUUUCCAGUGGAGCGGUGAAAUGCGUUGAGAUCGAAAAGAACACCAACGGCGAAAGCACUCUGCUGGGACGACACUGACACUAAGAGACGAAAGCUAGGGGAGCAAAUGGGAUUAGAUACCCCUGUAGUCCCUGUCUCUUAUAA
rnacentral:rRNA from 1 species